rnacentral:rRNA from 2 species
GUGGGUAGUUUGACUGGGGCGGUCUCCUCCUAAAGAGUAACGGAGGAGCACGAAGGUUGGCUAAUCCUGGUCGGACAUCAGGAGGUUAGUGCAAUGGCAUAAGCCAGCUUGACUGCGAGCGUGACGGCGCGAGCAGGUGCGAAAGCAGGUCAUAGUGAUCCGGUGGUUCUGAAUGGAAGGGCCAUCGCUCAACGGAUAAAAGGUACUCCGGGGAUAACAGGCUGAUACCGCCCAAGAGUUCAUAUCGACGGCGGUGUUUGGCACCUCGAUGUCGGCUCAUCACAUCCUGGGGCUGAAGUAGGUCCCAAGGGUAUGGCUGUUCGCCAUUUAAAGUGGUACGCGAGCUGGGUUUAGAACGUCGUGAGACAGUUCGGUCCCUAUCUGCCGUGGGCGCUGGAGAACUGAGGGGGGCUGCUCCUAGUACGAGAGGACCGGAGUGGACGCAUCACUGGUGUUCGGGUUGUCAUGCCAAUGGCACUGCCCGGUAGCUAAAUGCGGAAGAGAUAA